GUGGGGAAUAUUGGACAAUGGGCGAAAGCCUGAUCCAGCCAUGCCGCGUGUGUGAAGAAGGUCUUCGGAUUGUAAAGCACUUUAAGUUGGGAGGAAGGGCAGUAAGUUAAUACCUUGCUGUUUUGACGUUACCGACAGAAUAAGCACCGGCUAACUUCGUGCCAGCAGCCGCGGUAAUACGAAGGGUGCAAGCGUUAAUCGGAAUUACUGGGCGUAAAGCGCGCGUAGGUGGUUUUGUAAGGUGGAGGUGAAAUCCCCGGGCUCAACCUGGGAACUGCCUCCAAAACUGCAUGACUAGAGUACGGUAGAGGGUAGUGGAAUUUCCUGUGUAGCGGUGAAAUGCGUAGAUAUAGGAAGGAACACCAGUGGCGAAGGCGACUACCUGGACUGAUACUGACACUGAGGUGCGAAAGCGUGGGGAGCAAACAGGAUUAGAAACCCUAGUAGUCC
rnacentral:rRNA from 1 species